rnacentral:rRNA from 1 species
AACGUAGGAGACGAACGUUAUCCGGAGUUACUGGGCGUAAAGGGCGUGUAGGCGGUUCGUUAAGUCUGGCGUGAAAGCUCUCGGCUAAACCGGGAGAGGUCGUUGGAUACUGGCAAACUAGAGGACGGUAGAGGCGUGUGGAAUUCCGGGUGUAGUGGUGAAAUGCGUAGAGAUCCGGAGGAACACCAGUGGCGAAGGCGACACGCUGGGCCGUACCUGACGCUGAGGAGCGAAAGCGUGGGGAGCGAACAGG